GUCAGCUUCGAGCUGCUCGGCCUGCACAGGGUGGCUUCUGGACGUCAACAGUUUCCCUGUGUCGGUGUCAGCGGCCUUUCCCUUUGGCUCUGGGCUUGGGUAGGAAAGCAUCUCCUCAUGUGACUUAGAAGCAAGAGCCUCUCCUGCUCACUGCACAGUCAGGAGUUGACCAUGUCUGUCCUUUGUACAAGCACGGAGGACAGAGCCAUCUUCUGCGGAACCAAGUCUUGGUUUUGUAGGUCUUUUGGCUGCAAAUGUGGAAUGAGGGUUCCUUUUCUGCAGGCCAUUCUUUCUUGGUUUAACGGUGGAGGCCUGAGAAGUGCUGCAUUCAGUCUUCCAUCUCUCUUCUUGUUCUUGUUCCAGGUGGGAUUUUUCCCUGGUGAGUGCGUGGAGCUCAUCAACGGAAAAAUUCCUGAGGCCCUCAUCGAUUCAGCACCAAAGCCAGGUACGGAUGUUACAUGUGAUGGCGCGGGGAAGUCAAAGGGAGUCGUCUUCUGGGUGUGUUCCGUGUUGAAUAGCUCCUUUAUCCAUCCCACGUUAUCCUCUGUGUUGAUGAUCCUUCAUGCAUCCCACGGGGCAUACGGCUGCUGUUUUGUAGGCAGUGAGAAUGAGGGCUUGGGCAAAUGAUAGGAUCCUCGUAGAAUGGCUUGGGAUGGAAGGGACCUCAAGGAUCAUCAAGCUCCAAGCCCCGUGCCUCAGGCUGGGCUGCCAACCUCCACUUUGAAUGCCAGACUAGACCAGGCUGCCCAGGGCCCCAUCCAACGUGGCCUUGGACUCCUCCAGGGACGGGGAAAGUCCGUUGUUGUAUGUACUUGUUGGCAAUGUUCUUCCCGCUUUUACGUGCUCUGUAGAAUGUGUGACGCUCAGCCUGGUCCCGCUGAGCCCAACGUGAAAUGAACUGGUUUCUUCCUUGUGUUGCACAGUGCCAAAGAAGCGCGGCAAGCUCAUCAGCUUCCUUCGUUCCUUGGUGAAGGCCCGCCCAAAGGAACCGAAGCAGCGGGAGAUAAAGAAGGAAGGGGUGUUUGGCUGUGACCUGGGAGAGCAUCUUCUCCACUCUGGCCGUGACGGUAAAGAACAGCCCCUUCCUGAGAGCUUCCUCUGUUGGGCAUGUAAAGAUGAAAGGGAGAUCAUCUCUGGCAAGGGGCAGGUUGAUAGCGGUGGAGAAAGAUGGCAGUUGAUGGCUGAAAGGUAAGCUGAGGCUAAUGCCCAUAGGAGAGCAGCCCACUUGUAUUUGCUUAAAGCAAAAGGUGUAAGCCAAUGCCACGCUAGCCUGAAAACAAAGGCAGCCUUUUGGCCCAAGAGAGUGUACUGCGUCAGUUUCCUAGCUCUCCUGGACGUGAGGUUUCACACCUCCAUUGCGGUGGGAGCUGUGAUGGGACUUGCAGUGUCUCUGGCUUCCCCAGAAUUACUUUCUGCAGGCUGGUUGGCAGGUCCUGGCAUUUGUGGAAAGCCAAGAACACAUCUGUGUUCAGUUUCCUCCCCGGCUCCUGCCUGUCAGAGACGUCUGUGCCGGCUUUCUUUCUCCUCUAAGGAGGAGGCAUGCAGUAGCGCGGCUGGGCUUAGUGGAUGGGAUGUGACAGGAGCAGCGGCUGAAGCAGGACUUGAAUCAGGAGCUCAGCUAACCGCUGGCACUUGUUCCGUAGUCCCCCAGGUCCUGCAGAGCUGCGCUGAGUUCAUUGAGCAGCACGGCGUGGUGCAGGGGAUCUACCGCCUGUCUGGCGUGGCGUCCAAGAUCCAGAAGCUACGGUAAGAGUGCUGCGACUGACACAGCUGUCAGUAGGGGCAUGUGCCAUGCUGCGGGCGUUCCGAGGCCUGCGCUGUGGGGCAGCUGUGUGCAGGCAGCGUGCGCUCAGCGGUGGUGCGCCAGGCUUGUGUCUGUUUGAUAGGAACACGGGGCGUUGAGUAGACUUGCUGGGGCAGGAAGUUCUCCUUCAGUCCUUGAGAGCAUUGGAAGGCUGUGGGGGACUGCGGUGUCAGCUCUCAUUCCCGUUUCCUCUUGUUGGCAGAGCCCUUUGGAGCAGCCCGCACUCCUCCUUGCUGCUCUGGGCUCCUGGCAUGUGAUUGUGGAGUAGGCAGCCAGUUGUCAGAGCGUUUCUUUUCUCCUGUGAAUCAGGAACCCCUUCCUUUUCUUGACUCUGUCGUGUAUUGCUUUGGACUUGUCUUCCUCUUUCUCAAAGCCCAAUGUUUUUGUGUCCUUCUCUCCAGCCACGAAUUUGAGUCGGAGCAGAUUCCGGAGCUAAGCGUCCGUGACGUUCACAGCGUGAGCUCCCUGUGCAAGAUGUACUUCAGGGAGCUCCCGACCCCUCUGCUGACCGAGCAGCUGUAUGGCAAGUUCUCGGUAAGCACAAGGCAAUGGCUUUCAUGUCCCUCUUCCCUGGGCCUCUUGGCAUGGCCUGUCGCAUACACACACGCCUGCGCACCUCAUGGUCUUUUUUUCUGAUUUUCUGUUAGCUCCAUGAGGUAGACUCGCAUGUCUUUGCCACAUCCUGCAGCAUACUGUUGCCACUAUUGGUGCUCAUUUCUGGAGGUGGUCAUUUCCAUAUUCACAAUGCUUGCGAGGAGCUGAGGUGCACAAUCCGUCAGGCUGUAAAGCAGCCCAGUGCUUGGACUGCUUGGCCUUGAUGGCACCAGCUGCGUGCCGCUGUGUUCCCCGGAUUUUCUGCCUGUUGGAAGGCAUAAAAUCCGCCUCAGUGCUGAGCAACAGCGUUCUGUCUUCAUAGUUGCCGAGCCUGUGGCAGGUAUCUCUACUGAUGUGUGUCUAAAUCCCUCUCUGCUUUCUUCCAGGAUGCUGUUUGUGCCGCUACAGAUGAGGAGCGGUUGCUCAGAAUGCAGGAGGUCAUCCAGCAGCUGCCCGCGCCUCACUACAGGUCAGAAAACUGCUGCCCUGAGUGUGGUGAGCUCAGCCCUGCUGCAUUUCAGAGGGCGAUGAUGCGAUGGCAGGCUUUGUCUCACGCUCACAACAUGAUGCCUGUGUGUGUUGAAGUGAUUGAUGGCUCGGUGGGGUUGAUGGAUUGGGUCAGUUCCUGGGGCACGGCUGGUGCAGCUGAUGGCUGCGUCUGUGCUGUGCUGGGGCUUGGUGCUGCAGCGUGGCACCUGGGAAAGCUUGAUCUGCUUCCUAUUCCGUGACAGUAGCAAGAGCAAGAACUGGCGUGUCUUGAGGUUUGUUUUGUGAAUUGCAGCACGGCGUGCUCACUGGUGCUGAAGGUCUGCCUCUUGCUUUCCAGGACACUGGAGUACCUGGUGAGACACUUGGCUUGUCUCGCUGGGAGCUGCUCUGCCACAAAGAUGCCCGCUAAGAACUUAGCGAUUGUGUGGGCUCCCAACCUCUUCAGGUAAACUUCUUUUUCCAUUUCAGCACACGGCUUAGAUCUGUUCUCCCCACGGGCACACUUUCUAGAGGAGGACAAUUUCUGCUCUCUUGUUUUUGUCAAAUGGGGCUGGUGUGUCCUUGAUCAUGCAGGAGAAUUUCUUCAGUGGCAUCACUGAUUGCCCACUGCGGAAGUCUCCAGAGCCC
ensembl:lncRNA